rnacentral:rRNA from 1 species
ACCUAUAAUUAACCAAAACCCCUAACUACCACUGAAUGACUUCAUAAAUAUAUGAAAGACCUCAUGCUAAAACUAGUAACAAGAAGUUAACCCUUCUCCUAAUUGCAAGUGUAAGCUGACAUGGAUCCCCCAUCGACACUUACCGUUUAUGAACCUACUGUAGCAACACAUCAAGAAAAUCCUACACCAUAUGCAUAAGACACACGAACGUUAACCUUACACCAGAGCAAUUCAAGAAAGAUUAAAAGAAGAGGAAGGAACUCGGCAAAUAACUAACCCCGCCUGUUUACCAAAAACAUCGCCUCCUGAUAAACAAUAGGAGGUCCCGCCUGCCCAGUGACUAUACGUUCAACGGCCGCGGUACCCUAACCGCGCGAAGGUAGCGCAAUCACUUGUCCUUUAAAUGUGGACUAGUAUGAACGGCAUAACGAGGGUUAUGCUGUCUCCCUCUUCCAAUCAGUGAAACUGAUCUCCCCGUGAAGAAGCGGGGAUAAAAUUAUAAGACGAGAAGACCCCAUGGAGCUUUAAACCCAAAGUCAACUGCUGCCACAUGUAUCACCCAAGCUUUAGCAGACCAUGUCACUUUGGUUUUCGGUUGGGGUGACCGCGGAGUAAAAUAAAACCUCCACGAUGAACGGAACUAAAUCCUAAUCCAAGAGCUACAACUCAAAGAAUCAAAACUUUGACAUAAAUUGAUCCAAAUUAACUUGAUCAACGAACCAAGUUACCCUGGGGAUAACAGCGCAAUCCAUUUUUAGAGCUCCUAUCGACAAGUGGGUUUACGACCUCGAUGUUGGAUCAGGGUAUCCCAGUGGUGCAGCCGCUACUAAAGGUUC